rnacentral:lncRNA from 1 species
AGUUCCUCUUCAAAGUUAGAGGAAAAAGAAAAGAAAUUAAAUUAAAUGCACAAAGGGAAAAUGGUAAAAAAAAAUUUUUAUCCUUUAAUUUUUAAGACUGACAUAUAUGACAAUUUAUAAAUUUUAUCUCUGAUAUAGCAUAUUAUGUAACUUUAUUAUUUAUCCAACUUUUCAAAGUGUCAAAAUGUACAUGGAAAAUUUACUACCUAUAAUUAUUAUGCAUCCCUCAGUCUUCAAUCCUUACAAAUACAGUCCCUGACACUGCCCUAGAGAGCUAUUCUCAUCCUCACCAGCCCAUGGGAAGGGAAAAAGAGAAAGUGAAAAAGAUAUGACCCAGGGGUCACACAUAUUUCCUCUGCUCAGAUUCCUUUAGGAAGAACAUAGUCAAAUGCCACAACUACCUCCGAAAGAAGCUAAACCGCAGUGGCUUCUAUUAUUAAAUGGAAGAAGAAAUCGUUCCAGGACUGAGUCUUCUGACCUCUGAACAAGUCAUCUGCCCCAAUACUUCUCCUCAUCGACACCCUACUCUGGAACUUCCUUAUUGGCGCCAAGCAUUAGACGGCCCAGAAUCUUGAUUCUCAAAAUGUGGUCCAUGAACCAGCAGCAUUAGCAUCACCUAGGAACUUGUUGGAAAUGCAGCCCCACCCUAGACUACUGACCCUGCAUCUUGACAAGAUAUGAUGAGAGCCCCAAGGACAGCAUUAUGGCAGGACCUCAGUGUGCUUAUGGGAGCUUGGAAGACUGAUUUUGGUGACUUCAGGAAAAGACACAAGAAGAGUGUAAAGAAGCCGAAACUUCUACGAACACACAGGUGCUGCCAGGGCUGCUGCGUCCUUUGAAGUCAAAACCUCUAAUUGAUUUA